rnacentral:lncRNA from 1 species
AAGCACAAACGUGCCCUCAAUAAUUUGGAUUUAAGUAGCGGAGAGGAUGACCGUGCGUCAGACGAAGACUUCAAAGGCUCAAGCUCUGAAGAGGAGGAGGAAGAAGAAUCUGAAAGUGGCAGUGAUUGGGGCAAAGGGCAGGAACCAGUCAGGAGAUCUACGCGGAACCGAGUGUCCCGCUUUGAUAAAGAUUUCAUAAAUGAUAACAGUAGUGAUGAUGAAAAGCCAAAGAAAAAGAAAAGACCCUGGAGUGAGACUGAAUCCAGUGAUGGAAGUGAGUAUGGACGAAAGAAAAGAAAAUCGGGAUCUUCAAGACGGAGAAAGAGGCCACGUCGCUUUGAUGAUUCAGAAGAAGAACAACCAAGAAGAAAAAAGAGUAAAAAGACUCGAAGAGUAAGUCUUUUUCCCACCUUUUUCAUGGUUUCUUUUUACUGUGCUUGUUGGUGCAUCGGUUUCUUUUUCUCUUUUUUUCCCACCGAAGAGGCUCCUCAUGUCUGAGCUUUUCUUGUAAUUAGAUUAAUCAAUAGGCAUACCCCCUGACUAUCUUCCCUUAUUUUGGCAAAGCAGCUAGAGAUGAUUUGGAGUCAAUGCUCUGAGAUUAAAAUGAGUUUUAGGUUAGACAAAAAUUUGAUAAUGAUUAAAAAUAAAUUAACAGUGAUUAAAAUUCAAAUUGGGAAAAAGAGAAUUUUUACAAAACAAGACGUGAACUUUUCUCAUAUCCAUUGUUAUGUAGCUUUCAUAUCUGAUUAGUUGGUAAAGAAUGAAAAUCUCUUAAAGAAUUUUUCAUAACAUUUUCAAAGCUGCUAGUUUCAUUCUAUUUUCGUUUUUAAAUGGUUGACUUGUUUUUUCACCGCUUUCCUCCCCGGGAAACAAAUCAUUCUUUUUUCAGUGUUGUGGCUCAAAAUAAAGAAAGAUACAUAUCUCUAAAAGGGAUGUGAUUGGAACCUAACCUAACUUAAGUGUGCACCUGACACAUGAGAAAUUCAGAGUCUCAGCUAACCUCUCAUAAUUAGCACUAAAAUAUGUCGCUGUAAAUUUUUCA